rnacentral:rRNA from 1 species
CGCCCUUGAGUUUGAUCAUGGCUCAGAAUGAACGUUGGCGGCGUGGAUUAGGCAUGCAAGUCGCGCGUGUACCAGCAAUGGGGAAAGCGGCGAAAGGGACAGUAAUGUGUAGAUACCUGCCCUCAGGACCGGGAUAGCUGCGGGAAACUGCAGGUAAUACCGGAUGACGUCUCCGGACCAAAGGUGUGAAUCCGCCGGAGGAUGGGUCUACAUCCUAUUAGCUAGUUGGUGAGGUAAUGGCUCACCAAGGCCAAGAUGGGUAGCAGGUGUGAGAGCACGACCUGCGUCAUUGGGACUGAGACACUGCCCAGACACCUACGGGUGGCUGCAGUCGAGAAUCUUCGGCAAUGGGCGAAAGCCUGACCGAGCGACGCCGCGUGCGGGAUGAAGGCCUUCGGUUUUUUUACCGCUGUCAGUGGGGAGGAAGGCUCCGUGAAGAACGGGGUUUGACCUAUCCGCAGAGGAAGCAAGGGCUAAGUUCGUGCCAGCAGCCGCGGUCA